rnacentral:rRNA from 1 species
ACUCCUACGGGAGGCAGCAGUAGGGAAUCUUCGGCAAUGGACGGAAGUCUGACCGAGCAACGCCGCGUGAGUGAAGAAGGUUUUCGGAUCGUAAAGCUCUGUUGUUAGAGAAGAAUGAUGGUGGGAGUGGAAAAUCCACCAUGUGACGGUAACUAACCAGAAAGGGACGGCUAACUACGUGCCAGCAGCCGCGGUAAU